AGAGUUUGAUCCUGGCUCAGGAUGAACGCUAGCGGCAGGCUUAACACAUGCAAGUCGAGGGGCAGCGGGGAGGAAGCUUGCUUUCUCCGCCGGCGACCGGCGCACGGGUGAGUAACACGUAUGCAACCUGCCCCUGUCAGGGGGACAACCCGCCGAAAGGCGGGCUAAACCCGCGUACAUGCCACCGGGGCAUCCCGGAGGCAGGAAAGGCUUCGGCCGGACAGGGAUGGGCAUGCGGCGCAUUAGGCAGUAGGCGGGGUAACGGCCCACCUAACCGACGAUGCGUAGGGGUUCUGAGAGGAAGGUCCCCCACACUGGUACUGAGACACGGACCAGACUCCUACGGGAGGCAGCAGUGAGGAAUAUUGGUCAAUGGUCGGGAGACUGAACAAGCCAAGCCGCGUGAGGGAGGAAGGUACAGAGUAUCGUAAACCUCUUUUGUCAGGGAACAAAGGCGGGGACGUGUCCCCGGAUGAGUGUACCUGAAGAAAAAGCAUCGGCUAACUCCGUGCCAGCAGCCGCGGUAAUACGGAGGAUGCGAGCGUUAUCCGGAUUUAUUGGGUUUAAAGGGUGCGCAGGCGGUCUGUUAAGUCAGCGGUCAAAGCCCGGGGCUCAACCCCGGCCCGCCGUUGAAACUGGCAGUCUCGAGUUGGAGAGAAGUAUGCGGAAUGCGCGGUGUAGCGGUGAAAUGCAUAGAUAUCGCGCAGAACUCCGAUUGCGAAGGCAGCAUGCCGGCUCCACACUGACGCUGAGGCACGAAAGCGUGGGUAUCGAACAGGAUUAGAUACCCUGGUAGUCCACGCAGUAAACGAUGAAUGCUGGCUGUCCGGGGGGAUUGACCCCUGGGUGGCGAAGCGAAAGCGAUAAGCAUUCCACCUGGGGAGUACGCCGGCAACGGUGAAACUCAAAGGAAUUGACGGGGGCCCGCACAAGCGGAGGAACAUGUGGUUUAAUUCGAUGAUACGCGAGGAACCUUACCCGGGCUCAAACGGGGAGUGACUCAGGCAGAGACGCCUGUUUCCCACGGGACACUCCCCGAGGUGCUGCAUGGUUGUCGUCAGCUCGUGCCGUGAGGUGUCGGCUUAAGUGCCAUAACGAGCGCAACCCCCGCGUGCAGUUGCUAACAGAUAACGCUGAGGACUCUGCACGGACUGCCGGCGCAAGCCGCGAGGAAGGCGGGGAUGACGUCAAAUCAGCACGGCCCUUACGUCCGGGGCGACACACGUGUUACAAUGGCAGGUACAGCGGGAAGCCACCUGGCGACAGGGAGCGGAACCCGAAAGCCUGUCUCAGUUCGGAUUGGAGUCUGCAACCCGACUCCAUGAAGCUGGAUUCGCUAGUAAUCGCGCAUCAGCCACGGCGCGGUGAAUACGUUCCCGGGCCUUGCACACACCGCCCGUCA
rnacentral:rRNA from 1 species